CUUCCAUCACAAGUUAUUCUAUAAAAUGAAAUACAAAUACAAACAACGUACCAACACGCAUGAAUUUUUUGCUGAUUUGACUGUAUAUGAAUCAGUCAAUGAAUCAGCCCCAUAAUCAUGGCUAACCUAAGCUUAAUUUCAGUGGUUAAAAUUUCACGCACAGGGCGCCAGUGUAGCUCAGUUGGAAGAGCAGGAACCCCAUGUUUAGAGGCUGUCAUCCACCAGAUACUGGAAACAAGGACGAUUCCCAAUUCUGGCAUGAUUUGGCACAUGUCUUCCUAACUACUUGUCUCCGUCAAGUUGUCUUUUCAAAAUAAAAGCCCAAAAGCGUCUUCAAAAAGGGUAUACUUUCCCAACAUUUCAUUUAAUUUUGGUGUCA